rnacentral:rRNA from 1 species
GGGUGGUAAUGCCGGAUGCUCCAUCACACCGCAUGGUGUGUUGGGAAAGCCUUUGCGGCAUGGGAUGGGGUCGCGUCCUAUCAGCUUGAUGGCGGGGUAACGGCCCACCAUGGCUUCGACGGGUAGCCGGCCUGAGAGGGCGACCGGCCACAUUGGGACUGAGAUACGGCCCAGACUCCUACGGGAGGCAGCAGUGGGGAAUAUUGCACAAUGGGCGCAAGCCUGAUGCAGCGACGCCGCGUGAGGGAUGGAGGCCUUCGGGUUGUAAACCUCUUUUGUUAGGGAGCAAGGCAYUUUGUGUUGAGUGUACCUUUCGAAUAAGCACCGGCUAACUACGUGCCAGCAGCCGCGGUAAUACGUAGGGUGCAAGCGUUAUCCGGAAUUAUUGGGCGUAAAGGGCUCGUAGGCGGUUCGUCGCGUCCGGUGUGAAAGUCCAUCGCUUAACGGUGGAUCCGCGCCGGGUACGGGCGGGCUUGAGUGCGGUAGGGGAGACUGGAAUUCCCGGUGUAACGGUGGAAUGUGUAGAUAUCGGA